rnacentral:lncRNA from 1 species
UUGAGAGAUUUGAGUUGUCGUGUUUUUUUUUUUUUUUUUUCUUUUGAGGAAAAUCGUUUGAGAGCGAAAAUUUAUUUAAAUAAAAUAAGAUGAUAAAAAAAUAAAAACUUCAAAAGAGAACCAUACAGUACAUUUUUUAUCAGACAUAUCCCAAUUGUCUAGCUGAUCAGCUUGUAUAACAUUCCUGGAGAAGCGAUAAUUCUAUCUAAAAUAAAAGGCGUGACAUACGUCGAUGAAGGACUGUAGUGUUUUGAGCUUCAUUCUAGCGACCUAAGUGAACGGCUCGGAUUGGUCAAAUCUGAAGUGGAUCGCUUUAUUAAUAAUCAAUGCUGAUCGUUCGAGAAUAUCUGAAUUCGUUUUCCUGGGAAGGUAUUCAAGAGAAAUUUGAUUGCUUUCGACACUGUUUCAAUUUCAGUUGACAACGCAUCAUGAACAUUUUCAACAAAUCUGAAACGCACAUACAAAUACCUUACUGGUUAAUAACGAGAGCACCAAUUCCACCCGAAUCACCAUCUCUUCAGCUACCAUCUAUCCAGACUU